rnacentral:rRNA from 1 species
GAAGCAAAGCCGCGAGGUAGAGCAAAUCUCAAAAAAACAAUCUCAGUUCAGACUGCAGGCCGCAACUCGCCUGCACGAAGUCGGAAUUGCUAGUAAUCGUAGGUCAGCAUACUACGGUGAAUACGUUCCCGGGCCUUGUACACACCGCCCGUCAAACCAUGAGAGUUGGCAACACCCGAAGUCGGUAGUCUAACCGCAAGGAGGACGCCGCCGAAGGUGGGGUUGAUGAUUAGGGUUAAGUCGUAACAAGGUAAC